AAUCUCAGUAACUAUUGUGACAUAUAUCUGUACGUACUAGUCCAAAGAAUGCACGUAAUGUAUGUAUUUUAUAUCAAUCAUGAGAGAAUAUUGGUGAUCAUAGCGAUUUAAUUAUCACCUUGACUCUCUUAAGUAAAUCAUAGCC